rnacentral:lncRNA from 1 species
AUGGCAAGCAAGGCGAUACCGGCAGGGGACCUCCGUUCUUCACCCUCAUGUCAUACAGCUGGUGUCCUUAGAGCAAGUGAUCCACAGGAGAGCAAGGAGGAAGCCACAGUGUCUUUUGUGAUGAAGGCUUGCUUUGUCACUUUGAAGUCACUUUGUCCUUUCCAUGACACAGGCAGCCCUCUUCACUGUGGGAGGCGAUUACAUGAGAGCAAGAACACCAGGCAGCAAUCACUGGGCCAGCUUGGAGGCUGGCUACCACAGCUGUCAGUAAGCUCUGUUGGGAAUUCCCGGAAGACUUUGUGGAAGAGGUCCCUGGAACAGCUAAGUAGGGAACAAGGAUUCAUAACUUGGGAUCUGGGGUGACUCUUGGGCUCCAGGGUCUGAAAUCUUUGGAAGAAUUCGUUUGCAAGAUUGCAACAGCCAUGGAUCAGAACGACAUCUUGGAAGCUUUGGCCGCCAAAACAGGACACUCCAGGCCGGUGGCGGAAUGCUUUACACGGAAUGGACUCCUUGCCACAGGUUUUAAGUGACUGGGGGGCAACACGCUGCCUCCCGUGCAGUUCAUUCUCCUCUGUACGGUUCAUUCUCCUCGCUGGGGGCAGAGAUUAGCCAGGAAUGAAAUUAAGCUGAAAUGGAAUUUCGAGAAUGGUGCCAAGUUAGCAGUAAUAUAGUAAAACUACACUGAAAUUUGAGGCCUUGAAAUGUAAAUUAAAUGACAUUUCCAAAUGUGAGGGUCUGAUUUGGAGAUGUCACUGCAGUAGAAAUGUGCUCAGCGCGGGAGAGUGCCUAGCUGUGUGGCCUAGAGAAAAAUGAGCCUUCCUGCUUAGGCCUGAAGACUCUCAUAAGAAAACAAAAUCACUCUUAAUGCUCAGGGAAUCAAGUUCUGUCUCUUUAAAGCAAAUGUGGCAAGAGGUUACCAAUGAGUGUGUCUAGGGCUGUGUGUUCGGUGGGAUGGUGAUAUGGACAUUCAUUGUACUUGUCUCAACUUUUCCCAAUGUUCGAAAAAUUUCAUAAUAAAACAUGUUGGGAGAAAGGAAUAAACUAGAUC